GCGGGGGUCCACGCGUCCCCCGCCCGAACACGACCGUUAAGCGCUCCAGCGCCGAUGGUACUUGGACCGAAUGGUCCGGGGAGAGUAGGAC
rnacentral:rRNA from 1 species